rnacentral:rRNA from 1 species
GACAGGGGGUGCAAGCGUUACUCGGAAUUACUGGGCGUAAAGAGCGUGUAGGCGGUUUUGUUAGUCCACUGUGAAAGCCCCCGGCUCAAUCGGGGAAGUGCAGCGGAUACUGCAAAACUAGAGUGCAGGAGAGGAGGGUGGAAUUCCUGGUGUAGAGGUGAAAUUCGUAGAUAUCAGGAGGAACAACAGAGGCGAAGGCGGCCCUCUGGACUGCAACUGACGCUUAGGCGCGAAAGCGUGGGGAGCAAAC